rnacentral:rRNA from 1 species
AUGAACGCUGGCGGCGUGCCUAAUACAUGCAAGUCGAGCGAACAGACGAGGAGCUUGCUCCUUUGACGUUAGCGGCGGACGGGUGAGUAACACGUAGGUAACCUACCUAUAAGACUGGGAUAACUUCGGGAAACCGGAGCUAAUACCGGAUAAUAUUUCGAACCGCAUGGUUCGAUAGUGAAAGAUGGCUUUGCUAUCACUUAUAGAUGGACCUGCGCCGUAUUAGCUAGUUGGUAAGGUAACGGCUUACCAAGGCAACGAUACGUAGCCGACCUGAGAGGGUGAUCGGCCACACUGGAACUGAGACACGGUCCAGACUCCUACGGGAGGCAGCAGUAGGGAAUCUUCCGCAAUGGGCGAAAGCCUGACGGAGCAACGCCGCGUGAGUGAUGAAGGUCUUCGGAUCGUAAAACUCUGUUAUUAGGGAAGAACAGACGUGUAAGUAACUGUGCACGUCUUGACGGUACCUAAUCAGAAAGCCACGGCUAACUACGUG